rnacentral:rRNA from 1 species
CCUACGGUGAGCUGCAGUGGGGAAUAUUGCACAAUGGGGGGAACCCUGAUGCAGCGACGCCGCGUGCGUGAAGAAGCGCCUCGGCGCGUAAAGCGCUGUCAGCAGGAACGACGAUGACGGUACCUGAAGAAGAAGCCCCGGCUAACUCCGUGCCAGCAGCCGCGGUAAUACGUAGGGGGCAAGCGUUAUCCGGAUUUACUGGGGGUAAAGGGGGCGUAGACGGCGGGGCAAGUCUGGAGUGAAAGGCCGGGGCCCAACCCCGGGACCGCCCUGGAAACUGCCCGGCUGGAGGGUGGGAGAGGUAAGCGGAAUUCCUAGUGUAGCGGUGAAAUGCGUAGAUAUUAGGAGGAACACCAGCGGCGAAGGCGGCUUACUGGACCGUGACUGACGUUGAGGCUCGAAAGCGUGGGGAGCAAACAGGAUUAGAUACCCUAGUAGUC